rnacentral:lncRNA from 1 species
CUCGCACAAAGCCUUAUCCCUUGCCCCAACCAUUUCUUUCUUUCUUUCUUUUCUGUCCCCUAUCUCUUCCCUAGUGUUUCCAGAGAAUGAAAAGAAAUGCUCCCUUUCUUCUUUGCUCUCAGUUUCUUUUAUGAGGCAGAAAAAGAUAACUGGACAAAGUUUAAAAUCUAAAAUGUAUUAACAGUUAUGCUUUCUUGCUUUUUGUCUAGUUUUCUGUUUUGGCACUAGGCUUGUUUUGGCAUUUCAUACCAGUCCCAGUUGUUCCCUCCCUGCUAGGCUUGGCUCUCAGGAGUGGAACUGUACUUCUGAGGAGGUUUAAACAAGCAACAACAAAAAAAUAGGCACUAAACAAUUAGUAGGAGUCCAGCACUAACAUACUGGCUUUGCAAGGAUCCACCAGCAUGACUCAGCAGCCUGCAAGCCUGAGCUCCAGUUGCAAGUGGUUACUACUACCUUCUCCUGUUCCACUUGUAGAAAAAAAGAAAAAAAGAAGAUCCCAAUAAGUUUGAGGACUAGAGGAAGAUGGGACGAUAUUGAAUUUGAAUAAUAAACCAGUAAAUAACCUAAAAAAAAAAAAAAUUUAGAAGACAAGGAACUAUCAUAAAGUAUGUCUCAGGAGUUUCUGUAAUUCCCAGAGUUUGAGCCUGCAUAAAUAGGAAAUAAAAGAUGAUGAAGUCUUAGCUGCCUGUGAAAACCCACCCUUAUAGUAGGACCAAGCAAGGUAAGAUUGCAUGUAUGGUAUUGUCAGUGUUUUUAAAGAGAGGUGUAUCUGAGUUUGUUUUGUCGAGGGGGGCGGGGGGGGACAUAUACAUGUUCUGGUAAACACUGCAGCUCUGCAAGGGUAUGUUAAGAGACAAACAAUCUUAAAAGAGAACAGAAAUCUUACUAGUAUUUUCUGUAGGUCUGCAUAUUUAAACCAUCAAUUGCUUGUAAUGCUACAGGAAUGUUUUUCUUUACUUCUGAUCAGUGGCAGAGAUUCUGCUGCCUUUGGGAUUCCUCCCUGUAUGUACUAAUGUUCCAGCUCUUCUUUAUAUGAACUCCUUCAGCUGAGCUAACAAAUGACAGCUUCAACAGAAAGGUAGAGAAGAAAGUGCCACAUCCAGCUCCUCACUUGUCCAAAGGAUGGGUAUACUUUCCUGAUAAUAAGAACUGAUAAAUCAAUUAAGUGCAUUAGCGGGGUAUAUAAAACUUUUGAAUAAUGUUAUUCAUGAGGUAACUGCCUAGCCUCUGUGUGCAGGGCAUGCUUGUGACAAGAAGGAAUGAUCAAAGACAGCUCAGGUCUUUCUCAUAGUCCUCCCCUUCAGCCAUCCGCUUUUCAGUCUCUCCAAUCAACACAAUCUCCUUAAUCCCAUGUCUACCCAGUGUCAGAAAUGCUGGUCUAAUUCUCUUCUACAGGAUAAAUGGAAGAGGAGAAAAAAGAAAGAUGAAAUAUUUUAACCUUCCAAUGGGAGGUAGAGGGGAAUAGAAGAGAUUCGACUCUGUCUUCCUCUGCGGUUUUCACUAGGUGAUGGAAGUCAUACAGACUCAAGGCUAGCACUGCAGAAGCA